CCUACGGGAGGCAGCAGUAGGGAAUCUUCCACAAUGAACGAAAGUCUGAUGGAGCAACACCGCGUGCAGGAAGAAGGUUUUCGGCUCGUAAACCUCUGUUGGUAGGGAAGAAAAAUAUAGAUAGUAACUGGCCUUUAUUUGACGGUACUUACUUAGAAAGUCACGGCUAACUACGUGCCAGCAGCCGCGGUAAUACGUAGGUGGCAAGCGUUGUCCGGAUUUAUUGGGCGUAAAGAGAGUGCAGGCGGUUCAAUAAGUCUGAUGUGAAAGCCUUCGGCUCAACCGCAGAAUUGCAUGAGAAACUGGUGAACUUGAGUGCAGAAGAGGAGAGCGGAACUCUAUGUGUAGCGGUGGAAUGCGUAGAUAUAUGGAAGAACACCAGCGGCGAAGGCGGUUCGCUGGAUUGCAACUGACGCUGAGGCUCGAAAGCAUGGGUAGCGAACAGGAUUAGAUACCCGAGUAGUC
rnacentral:rRNA from 1 species